UUGGAAGCUCCAAAGGUGGUCGCCCUAUUUUUUGGCACAAUAUGAGAGAAGAACCUGUUAUCUACAUCAACAGAAAACCAUUUGUGCUCCGUGAAGUUGAAAGACCAUAUAAGAACAUGCUGGAGUACACGGGAAUUGAUCGUGAGAGAGUGGAGAGAAUGGAAGCUCGAUUGAAGGAAGAUAUCUUACGAGAAGCUGAACGGUAUGGAGGUGCUAUAAUGGUCAUUCAUGAAACAGAUGAUGGACAAAUUUUUGAUGCAUGGGAACAUGUGAAUUCUGAUUCUGUUAAGACCCCACUUGAGGUCUUCAAAUGCCUAGAGGCUGAUGGGUUUCCCAUUGAGUAUGCACGAGUGCCGAUCACUGAUGGUAAAGCUCCCAAAAGUUCUGACUUCGACACAUUGGCAGCAAAUAUUGCUUCUGCUUCCAAGGAUACUUCUUUUGUUUUCAAUUGCCAGAUGGGGAGGGGAAGGACAACCACUGGCACUGUAAUUGCUUGCCUUCUAAAACUUAGAAUAGAUUAUGGGCGACCAAUUAGAGUCCUAGUUGAUGAUAUGACCCGUGAAGAGGUGGAUAGUGGCAG
rnacentral:misc_RNA from 1 species